AACCUGAUAUCGCUGAGUCCAAUUAUUUGGAGCGGGGGAACCAAUUUUGUGCAUUGUCACUUGGGGUGAAUCUUUCAUUAUGAAAGUAGGGCUACUCUUUAGGCCCGAAUCCGACAGCUAACCUCGUAAGCGUUUGGAGAGGAGGU
rfam:Bacillus cereus Rock3-44 chromosome, whole genome shotgun sequence.